AAGUUGGAUUCGCUAGUAAUCGCGCAUCAGCCAUGGCGCGGUGAAUACGUUCCCGGGCCUUGUACACACCGCCCGUCAAGCCAUGGAAGCUGGGGGUGCCUGAAGUUCGUGACCGCAAGGAGCGACCUAGGGCAAAACCGGUGACUGGGGCUAAGUCGUAACAAGGUAUC
rnacentral:rRNA from 1 species